GGUUGAUGUUCCUGUAAGGUUGUAGUGCGCCAAUCGGAUGACGUCACGAAGUGUAACGUCCCACUUGGCGUUCUAGUGGGACGUUUCACUUGGAUAUGCAUCAAGAUAUUUGUAACCAUAUGGGUCAUAAAACUUCUUAUUAAAGAGCCCUUAUUAACUUUUGUUUCUGGUUCGAGUGCAUCCGCAUUUUAAUGGAUGCUGACCAACGCGGAGUCCCUGCAACAGAUCUGUAAAGCUGAACAGAUUUCAACUUCUCCGAUCUGUCCCAUAUCCGAAAGAGACUGUCUGUAACUUUGUUCCCAUGAAACUUUUCUUUUGUCUGCAUCGGUUUGUUACCGAUGUUUUUGAAACCAAGCUUUACAUAACUUGUUUGUCUCAUGAGUUUGUUGACAAAAUAAAAACUAAAAAUAUAAUGUGGUUAUAUGUCGGAUGUCUUAUGAUCUGUAUUGUUUGUUGAUCAUAUUAAAUCUAACCUAGUUGAGUGGUAGCCUCUAUAACUAAAGUACGUUUUCACGCCUGUAGAUGUAGAAAUAAAUAGUGUAUUGUUAAUACUGUCAAAAGUGAUAUCUACUGUUUAUUGUAUAGUUAAGUUAAUAUUAGUAACCAUGACGUUGUCAUCGGUUACUUGUAAAAAUUUUUUAUGUAGUGACGUAUUAGUCUUGUUAGUAGUGUUAAAGUAUUCUUUAAUUAUUCUUCUUAUUAUUAUUAGUUUUUUGUUUUAAUCCUGCCAUGACAGUACAAUGCUUCGUAUUUUGUUUCUUCUGUAAAUUCAGUUUUUUUUGGUCACAGUAAUAGAUUGCGAUGGCUUAUUCGUUAUAACUAAUAGAGCUAUGCUGUUAUUUUGUUUUUUAAGUGUCCGUUUGUAACGUCCGUCUUAUUUUAAAUAAAUAUUUUUAUUCA